rnacentral:rRNA from 1 species
AUUGAACGCUGGCGGAAUGCUUUACACAUGCAAGUCGAACGGCCGCACGGACUUCGGUCUGGUGGCGAGUGGCGAACGGGUGAGUAAUGUAUCGGAACGUGCCCAGUCGUGGGGGAUAACGUAGUGAAAAUUACGCUAAUACCGCAUACGAUCUAUGGAUGAAAGCGGGGGAUCGCAAGACCUCGCGCGAUUGGAGCGGCCGAUAUCAGAUUAGGUAGGUGGGGGGGUGAAGGCCCACCAAGCCAACGAUCUGUAGCUGGUCUGAGAGGACGACCAGCCACACUGGAACUGAGACACGGUGCAGCCUCCUACGGGAGGCAGCAGUGGGGAAUUUUGGACAAUGGGCGAAAGCCUGAUCCAGCCAUUCCGCGUGCAGAAUGAAGGCCCUCGGGUUGUAAACUGCUUUUGUACAGAACGAAAAGGUUUCUACUAAUACUAGGAGCUCAUGACGGUACUGUAAGAAUAAGCACCGGCUAACUACGUGCCAGCAGCCGCCGUAA